rnacentral:rRNA from 1 species
AGCAGCCGCGGUAAUUCCAGCUCCAAUAGCGUAUAUUAAAGUUGUUGCAGUUAAAAAGCUCGUAGUUGAAUUUCGGGAUUGACGUGAUGGUCGUGCCUUACGGGGUAUGAACUGUUGCUGUUGAUUUCUCACCUUCUGGAGAAACUUGAUGUCCUUAAUUGGGUGUCUUGCGGAUCCAGGACCUUUACCUUGAAAAAAUUGAGUGUUUAAAGCAGGCAUUUUGCUCGAAUACAUUAGCAUGGAAUAAUAGAAUAGGACGGCAUGGUUCUAUUUUGUGGUUUCUAGGAUCACCGUAAUGAUUAAUAGGGAUAGUUGGGGGCAUUAGUAUUCAAUUGUCAGAGGUGAAAUUCUUGGAUUUAUUGAAGACUAACUACUGCGAAAGCAUUUGCCAAGGAUGUUU